rnacentral:lncRNA from 1 species
AUUUGCGUACGUAUAUGUUAGACGAAAGUAACACAUUUAUUUGAAAAAGAUGCAAGACUGGAUCUUCAGGGUAGGUAAACUAUAUCAUUUUUUUCUCGAACUAGAAUAUAAUAUAAUCCUUAAAAUUUGUCUUAAUAAUUUUUAAAAAGUAUAUCUGUAAUUUAAAUGAUUCUCAAAAUGAAUCAUGUCAUUGCAACUGUUCUUUUAAUAUAAAAAUUACCAAAUAUUCAGUUUGAUGACAUUAACUACACAUAUUUAAGCUCAAUAUGUUGACGUAAGUUUAGUUAAAAACAAAGCGAUAUGAUAACCUCUUACAAUAAAUCAUAGUACACAUGUAUACAUUACUUUGUAUCAAUUGUUUAUUUACACAUUUUCAAGCAGAAUUUCAAAUCUCCAAACCGACCUAUUUUUUUCCUUCAAACAAUUAAAAUAAAAAAGAAUAAAAAAGUUAGAUCGUUUAAUUUCUGAUUGCGUCCCAUCAAAUAAAGGCAAUACUAGUAUACAGCUGUUCAAUGUUCAAACAUCGAUUUUAAGUGAAACAUAUCCGGGUCAUCAACCAAAACUGAGGGAAAUACUUCAACUAAAAGAGGAAAUAAAACAGAAUAACAGAAACACUGAAUCGCUAAAACAAAUGCACCAACAUACAUAGAAACGAUACUCCUGACUUUUUACAGGGCAUUUAAAGAAAACAUGUUAAAUUGAACUUAUUUGUAUGGCUAGCCGAUCUUCCUUUUUAUCUCAUCCUUAGAAUAGGAUUAACGAGACCCGGUAAUCAGCUUUAUCUGACUCGUUUUUAUACAUACAUUUGUAUACCUCUAUAGUAAAUACAUUUCAUCACAAUACCAGAGUAUUUGACAAUUGAGACUAUUCAAUUGUCAAGGUAUAGAUUUUGAUCACCUACGCAGCAAAUAUUCACACUGCAUCCGCGCAUUGAGCACAUAGUUAUCGACUCCUUUACUAUUCAAAAGCGUGCAGCUGCUUAUCAGAUGUGUCUGAGCAAAACAUUAAUUAGCCAGGUUUUGUCAAUUUGUGUCUCGAUUUUUUCACACAUUAUAAAAGGUAAGUUUUAAAAACCUGCAUUUCCAAAUUAUAUAAGAUGAUCUCGUCUUAUAUAUCUUUGUUGCUGAAAUUGUGUAGCUUUUGUUUUACUUUACAGUAUAUAUCUCUGUGGUGUAAUGCUCCUUUUGGCUUUAUUGAUUCUUGAUUUUAAGCUAUGGACGUCGUUGCUGUUACAGGUGGAUCCCGAGAUUAAGUUAUAAUGCAAGUGGUUCUCACAGUAUAAUUUUCUUUCUGGUUACUUUGUCAACACAUUAUAUGUGUACGGGGGUAAGUGUACACAAUAUACAGUAUGUACUAUCAACAAUAAACAUCUUGUUGUUAGUGUCUUUGUCAAAGUUUGUUUGAAUUUAUUAGUCAGUCGCGUUACAUGUCUGUCCUGUAUGUUUAGGCUGCUAUCGACCUUUUUAUUGUCACAUUGAUCUUUUGUGUCUGUAGCUAGGUACUAUGUAUCUUUCGUCUGUCUGUAAGUUGUACAUAAUGUUUAUAAUUGUGUUGUUACGCCAAUGUUCCAUGUCAAGGAAAGGUCUUAACAUUCAUUAACGUGUGUAACACCUUCAAACUAAGAACGUGUUUGUCCGAGGUCGAGGUCAUGUAAUCAAUAUUCUCACUUACUAUGUUUAAAAUAUUUGUUUGAGAAUUAAUUAUACAUUUCUCACCUGGAUUUUAUUUAAAUUUGUCAUCGCGUACUAUUCGGUAUGUGCUUAGCUACAUGCUUUCGUUUAGACGAUGACCUAUACAUGCUUCCAUACACGUACUUUGCUGAAAAAUGGUCUAAUUGGCAAUCAAACAUGAUAUCUGUAUUUUUUAUUAAAGGUUAACCGUUUCAGAAUAAAUGUACAUACGUUAAAGCACAUGCAACAAUAUUGACGAUCGAAACUAAUCUGCAAUAUAUGAUUAAUUUCAGAUGAUGAUAAGUUUACUAUUCUCACGUAGUUCUAGUUUUGAAAAUGUGUGUCCUAGCGCUUCCCAGUGGAAAUUAAGAGCGGCGAUCUGUAAAAACUCAUCUAAGUAUAUGUGUUUCCAUGAUAUCAAUAAACACACACAUCUAGAAUUUUGCAACCAAACAGAUGAAAUUCAACAAGAAGGUAAAUGCAACUACUAAGUAAUAAUUUGACAAUGUUCAAUUGCAACAAAAACAAUUAAAGUUCACAAUAUAAAUUUGAAACAUAUAAAACCUAUAAUAGAAAAUAUAUAUUUGUUUUUAUAUGUUGGUUGUUAUAGAGGAGCGUUUGUUGGUGAAAGGUUGUAUGGAGUUUUCCGUCUUUAAUAGGACUUGGAGUUCAGAUUUUAUUUUUGUCGUUUACCUAGAACGUGUUUCUAAACUCGAUAGAAAGCAAAAAACAUAGUUUGAUUGUUAGUUAUUUCUUUUCAUGGUUUGACUGUUAUCCCUGCUUACUAAACUUAAUUAUAAAAUGUUGGAAGACGGAGAAGGAAAUAAAGCUUUAAUGUCCCAAGAUCAUGAUUUGUUCUGUAUUUAUUGUUAGUGCUGUGAGAAAAAACUUUCAGUUCCUGCAAGAACUCUGAGGGUCACUCGUGAGACGAGCCAUUUCAGACUUAUUCUUAUCCACUUUGCGCCAAAGAUCAGUGUGAGCUAUUGCCAUUACUUAGUGGUCAUCGGCUGCAGACGUCUGUCGUCUUCCGGAUCAGUUUCCGAAAAACGUCUUCUCUUAUACUACGGACCAACUUUGACCAAACGUAACCGAAUCAUUAAUUAAGUUUUUAGUUUUAAAAAAGUGUCCGAUGAUCCUUCGUGCCAUUCGAUAUGGUUGAUAUGGCUUAAGAUAAAUCGUAAUUGUAAAAUGCAAGUAAUUAGACUGCACGCAUAGAAAACAAGUCAAGAACUGCAGAUGUUCAUUGUCAUGAAAUUAUAUUUCAAAGAAUGAAAAUACAUUAUUGUACAAAACCUGUUAACACUCUUAUUAAAAUACGUUUUUGUUUUAUUUGUUAUGAUCUUCAUAUACAUGAUACCUACAAAAUAAUAAUUAUAAGGUUUAAAGACUGUUGUUAGAGGAAGUUUUGAUGGUAUACCAUGUGAUGAGAAUCAUUACCAGCGUUCGAAUACAGUUCUUCAAAUGGAGCCACUUGUGUUUUUCUUAAAUCUUUUUGCAAUGAAGAAGGUCAGAUUGAAGCACUGACAAACGGACGACAUCAGAUAGAACUUGUCGUUGUGAUUACAGAUUUGGCUAUAAUUUCGUAUGCAGCCAAAUAAACCAUUUGUAUGUGUGCCUUCUAAAGAAGAUUGUUCUUGUUAUUAUAAAGAAUGUGGGAAAGAUCAAGUGCUUACACCAGGUAAAGAUAAAUCAGUUUUUUUAUUCAUGUAAAUACCCAUUACAUUUCUAUAUAUAUUUUAGAUGUGCAUGUUAUAGGUCUGAGAAACACAAUUACUUUUCAUAUUGGUUACAAUGCGUUGCUUUGUUUAAGUCACAUUGAAUUAAACCAUGUGUACUGGUGAAGUUGGAAUUAUCCUUUGUAAAUUUAACUGACGCCAUCACGACUUGGUUUACCGUUUCACAGAUGAUAUCGGAUAUGUCCUUAUUUACAAUCCCCUUACCUUUCGUGAAAGUGAGCUACCGAAUGCGACUAUUUACCGGGUUUGUAAUAACAUGAAUAACACGAUGGGUGCCACAGGGGGAUCAGAAUCAAUUUAAUCUUCCGCAGCAACCUGAUCACUCCCAGAUUUUGAUGGGGUUCGUGUUCCUCAGUCUUUAGUUUUCUAUGUUGUGUUCUCCUGAACUAUUAAAUGUUCUAUUUGUCUAUAUCUUUGUAAGCUUGGCGUUGUCAACUUAUUUUCGAUCCAUGAAAUUGACUGUCCCUCUCUACACUGCUACUUUUGCAUAUGUACUAUUUCUGUAUAAAAGAUAUGUAGUACUUGAAAUUUACUUUAAAAUUAAGUACUUUUUUGUUACCUUAAAUUAUUGUAACAUUUAGGUACCUGUCUCUUACAGUACUUUAUUUGUACUUUAAAUUUUUGGUACAGAAAUAAUAGCAACAGUGAUCACACUAUUCCAUGUUUGAAAAUCAUAAUUUUAGAGAUUGAAAAAGAUAUAAACUUUCAAAUUGUCAAAUGAAUGUCCUAAAAAUGUAAACGGUGUAACCAAAAUUCUGGCAGUACUUAAAUUUUAAGUACAAAUCAAAUACUGUGGAAAAAAAGGUAUCCAAAUAUUACAAUAAUUUUAAAGUAACAAUAAGUACUGAAAAUUAAAAGUAAAUUUCCAGUACUAGAGAUUUCUGGUACAGAAAUAGUAAUCUAUGCAAAGUAGCUGUGUAGUUUCUUUCGCCCAUCUUUUGUACCACAUCAAACAUGAAAUACAUUACCUGCUUAUAGACCAUUAUUAGUCUGAGAAAACAUGUUUGUUGCAGAAGAAUUUAGCCAGUGUUUUUUUCUUUUGUGAGCCAUAUAACAUGGCACUUGUAUGAAUUUGAAUUUUUUGAUAAUUGCCCGAGGAUUAAUUUUCUACCCUUCUUUCAUUUUUGACGAAAAACUUAUUUCACUCUCAACAAAUAAAUGUUUGCAAUAUGUUUCAACUAUUUCAAUGUAAUACCCAACGGAUAAGACAGCUUAAUAGUAAACAUUUCAAAGAAAAUAGUAGAAUACUCGAAAUUACACCCCAAUCUCAUAGUUGAACUGCUUAGUAAUAUUCCGUGACCCGAACAGGAAAAUUAUAGUGGUCUAACCGCCUACAUUCGUGCACUAGGCAACGAUUUCUUUUAAUACGAAAAUUUGUAGUUUAUGAUAUUGGCGUUGUUGUUUCAGACUAUCUGUGUAUGAUCCGGCUAAUAUUACAGUACACGUUAAUAUGUUUACGUGUCCACUGAUAGAGGAAUCGAUGUCAAGUAAA